rnacentral:rRNA from 1 species
GACGAACGCUGGCGGCGUGCCUAAUACAUGCAAGUCGAACGCUUCUUUUUCCACCGGAGCUUGCUCCACCGGAAAAAAAAGAGUGGCGAACGGGUGAGUAACACGUGGGUAACCUGCCCAUCAGAAGGGGAUAACACUUGGAAACAGGUGCUAAUACCGUAUAACAAUCGAAACCGCAUGGUUUUGAUUUGAAAGGCGCUUUCGGGUGUCGCUGAUGGAUGGACCCGCGGUGCAUUAGCUAGUUGGUGAGGUAACGGCUCACCAAGGCCAGGAUGCAUAGCCGACCUGAUAGGGUGAUCGGCCACAUUGGGACUGAGACACGGCCCAAACUCCUACGGGAGGCAGCAGUAGGGAAUCUUCGGCAAUGGACGAAAGUCUGACCGAGCAACGCCGCGUGAGUGAAGAAGGUUUUCGGAUCGUAAAACUCUGUUGUUAGAGAAGAACAAGGAUGAGAGUAACUGUUCAUCCCUUGACGGUAUCUAACCAGAAAGCCACGGCUAACUACGUGCCAGCAGCCGCGGUAA